AAUGGUUUCAGGGUUGUUUGUUUCUCUUUGAUAAAGAAGCCCUGCCUUGCUCUGGCUCUUACUCUCCCUAGGGUUAGACGGAACAACCCUCCCAUCCCCUUCAGCAAUUUAGAGUGAUUGGUAAACAUACCCAAUCCUCGCAGCAACAAAAAUGAUAAAAUUCGUUCUGGACUGCCUCCUGCUUCUGCCCUUACUGCUCGUCUUCAUCUUAGAAUCUCUCAUGAAGUCUUUUAUUCCUAAGAAGAGGAAAUCAGUCACUGGAGAAAUCGUCCUGAUUACGGGAGCUGGGCAUGGAAUCGGGAGACUGACGGCCUAUGAAUUUGCCAAACUUAAAAGCAAACUGGUUCUGUGGGAUAUAAAUAAGCAUGGAAUUGAGGAAACAGCUGCUGAAUGCAGGAAACUGGGUGCACAAGCGCAUGCCUUUGUGGUAGACUGCAGCAACCGAGAAGAUAUUUACAGUUCAGCAAAGAAGGUGAAGACAGAAGUUGGAGAUGUUAGCAUUCUGGUAAAUAAUGCUGGUGUGGUCUAUACAUCAGAUUUGUUUGCUACACAAGACCCUCAAAUUGAAAAAACUUUUGAAGUUAAUGUACUUGCACAUUUCUGGACCACCAAGGCAUUUCUUCCAGCGAUGAUGAGGAAUAAUCAUGGCCAUAUUGUCACUGUGGCUUCAGCAGCUGGGCAUACCACAGUUCCCUUUUUAAUGGCAUAUUGUUCCAGCAAGUUUGCUGCUGUGGGAUUUCACAGAGCUUUGACUGAAGAACUGGUGGCCUUAGGCAGAACUGGAGUCAAAACAUCAUGUCUCUGCCCUAAUUUCAUAAACACCGGCUUCAUCAAAAACCCAAGUACAGUUUGGGACCCACCCUGGAACCUGAGGAAGUGGUGAGCAAGCUGAUGAAGGGAGUCCUGACUGACCAGAAAAUGAUUUUUGUUCCAUCUUCUAUAAGCGCUAUGACAGUGGUGGAAAGGAUCUUUCCUGAGCGUUUCCUGGCAGUAUUAAAACGGAAGAUCAAUGUUAGGUUUGACGCAGUUAUUGGAUAUAAAAGUAAAGGAGAAUAAGUGCUUGGUUUUUUGGAAAUUGAUUUACCAGGUUUAAGUUGAUUCCAUCCAAUGUUAAUUAGAAUUUUAAUGUUUGAACUUCUGCUUUUAUCUUUUUUUUCCUUCAAUAUCACCUUUUGAGGCUCUGGCGGUCCUCAUUUAUUAUCACUGUUCUUUAGCUAAAGGCUAAUUUCAUAUAAUACAAAGAGAAAAAUACCUGAGCAAUUGCCUUAUGGAAAAUGGAGAAAAAAGAACAAAAGCAGUUUUACAAUAAUUUCUAAGAUUGCGUGGCUCAUAUGAAGUUUUGCAAAAUUUGUACUAUAAAUGUUUAAGAUACAUUUUAUUUUUAAUUACACUUAAAUUUUAUAUAAUCCACUUGUUUCUUUUCCCUAUUGUACAUAAAAUGGAAAUUUCAAGCUCUUUAAAUAUAAUGAAGGACUAUAUCUAGUAGCAUUUCACAAGGAAUUUUUACGUGAUGUAAGAAAUGUUCAAACAUUUCAUCCUACACAUCACCACUGUUUCCUGAGAGAUACCUCAUAUUUCAAUGACAAACAUUUCAGCACAGGGAAACUGGAGGUGGACACAUGUUGCAAAUAAAAAAAAAAACAUCAUUGGGAUUUCAGGUAGAGAAAUGUAAGGAUGUACCCAUAAGUGACAAAAUAAUAAAUGGAUCAAACUUAAA